CAAGUCUUGAGAAGCACAGCCCUGGGGUAUCUGCGCCAUGGCCCGGGCGCCCCUCCUGCUCAUACUUGUGGCUCACUGCACAGGGACCAUUUCUCAGGCUGUGGUGACUCAGGAAACCUCACUGACCACUAGUCCUGGAGGAACGGUCAUACUAACCUGUGGCUCCAGCGCUGGGGCCAUCACCACCAGUAACUAUGCCAACUGGUUCCAAAAGAAGCCAUACCAGGCACCCCAGGGUCUAAUAGGUGCCACUAGCACAUGGGUCCCAGGGGUCCCUGUCUGGUUCUCCAGCUCCCUGCUUGGAAACACAGCCGCCCUCAGCAUCACGGAGGCCCAGCCCGAGGACGAGGCUGAGUAUUUCUGCGCUCUGUGGCUCAGCAACCAUUUCCACAGUGACAGGCCGGGUGGGGAAGUGAGACACAAACCUCCGGGCUCAGUCUCACCGUCUACUCCUGUGUAUUUCUUUUUCAUGUGUGCAGAGUUGAAUACAAGGCCUGGGUAAUGUGUCUGGUAUGUGAGAGGGACUGUGGUAAACCAUCACCAAAACAGCAGUAACCCCCACGUCCUGGGGUUUAUGCCCUGUGAGAUCCCCUUCCUUGAGUGCAGGCUGUACUGAGUGACAGGAGUACUGAGUUGGAGGACUACAGGUCGAUCAAGGAAAAGGUCAAAAAGUACAAAAAAAAAAGAGACAGAGAGAGAGCUGGCAGUAACACACAGGGAACUUCAUUCGGGUGGCACUUAGGUGAGAAGGGAACCACCCUCUCACGUCUGUACACCUUGCGGAGUGCCGCAGGGCCACCACCCCAAUGAAGAGGGCACAGAACUCUCAGGCUGGGAGGGAAUCAUGCCUGGGAGCUGUCAUUCAUCGGCUCAGCCGGGAAUCU